rnacentral:lncRNA from 8 species
AUGACCCUGUUCAAGAGUGAAUAUCACAGCCUAAGACAUAGGACCAUGACUGGGGAACUGAGGACAAGCCGCCCAAAGACGGGAACCAAGAGACCCAGCAGUGAGGCCUACAGAUCUGACUAUGACUUGGAGUAUGACAGCUACCCAGAUGACCUCUACAGCAGGGUGUUUGACUACCAGCGUGUCCCAGCCUCCGUAAUGCCAGUCCCAGUGGAGCCCAGCCCUAUGAAACACUCCCGUGAUCCCUCUUUCUCUUUCGGCCUGCACCGCUCCAGAAACAGACCACAGGGCAAGAGGAGCGCACAGCGCACCGGCUCUUCCAGGGCCAAGUUGAAGAUGGCAGAGCUGCUGGCCAUAAAGCGGGAGUUAACUCUGAUCAAGGUGCAGAUUGACGGACUGCUCGACAGCGUGGACAAGAUGGACAGACAGAGGAAGGACCACUCAGAUUCACCUCCUACCCAGGAGGGUAGUGUGUCGGACUCAGUGAGCAGUCUGGAAGAUUCUCCCGUCAGCCUCCCGCACAGACAGAGGGAGAGCCCAGAGCCUGGAGAGGCCAGCGAUGAGGACCAACACCUCCAACACUACCAGCUCCACUGCAGGGUAAACAAUACAUCAUUCUGCCUCCCUCUACUGGAGACACAACACUACCAGCUCCACUGCAGGGUAAACAAUACAUCAUUCUGCCUCCCUCUACUGGAGACUCAACACUACCAGCUCCACUGCAGGGUAAACAAUACAUCAUUCUGCCUCCCUCUACUGGAGACACAACACUACCAGCUCCACUGCAGGGUAAACAAUACAUCAUUCUGCCUCCCUCUACUGGAGACACAACACUACCAGCUCCACUGCAGGGUAAACAAUACAUCAUUCUGCCUCCCUCUACUGGAGACACAACACUACCAGCUCCACUGCAGGGUAAACAAUACAUAA